rnacentral:rRNA from 1 species
UAACCUGCCCAAGAGACUGGGAUAACACCUGGAAACAGAUGCUAAUACCGGAUAACAACACUAGACGCAUGUCUAGAGUUUGAAAGAUGGUUCUGCUAUCACUCUUGGAUGGACCUGCGGUGCAUUAGCUAGUUGGUAAGGUAACGGCUUACCAAGGCAAUGAUGCAUAGCCGAGUUGAGAGACUGAUCGGCCACAUUGGGACUGAGACACGGCCCAAACUCCUACGGGAGGCAGCAGUAGGGAAUCUUCCACAAUGGACGAAAGUCUGAUGGAGCAACGCCGCGUGAGUGAAGAAGGGUUUCGGCUCGUAAAGCUCUGUUGGUAGUGAAGAAAGAUAGAGGUAGUAACUGGCCUUUAUUUGACGGUAAUUACUUAGAAAGUCACGGCUAACUACGUGCCAGCAGCCGCGGUAAUACGUAGGUGGCAAGCGUUGUCCGGAUUUAUUGGGCGUAAAGCGAGUGCAGGCGGUUCAAUAAGUCUGAUGUGAAAGCCUUCGGCUCAACCGGAGAAUUGCAUCAGAAACUGUUGAACUUGAGUGCAGAAGAGGAGAGUGGAACUCCAUGUGUAGCGGUGGAAUGCGUAGAUAUAUGGAAGAACACCAGUGGCGAAGGCGGCUCUCUGGUCUGCAACUGACGCUGAGGCUCGAAAGCAUGGGUAGCGAACAGGAUUAGAUACCCUGGUAGUCCAUGCCGUAAACGAUGAGUGCUAAG